rnacentral:rRNA from 1 species
GAUGAACGCUGGCGGCGUGCCUAACACAUGCAAGUCGAGCGAACAGACGAGGAGCUUGCUCCCCUGACGUUAGCGGCGGACGGGUGAGUAACACGUGGAUAACCUACCUAUUAGACUGGGAUAACUUCGGGAAACCGGAGCUAAUACCGGAUAAUAUAUUGAACCGCAUGGUUCAAUAGUUAAAGACGGUUUUGCUGUCACUUAUAGAUGGAUCCGCGCCGAAUUAGCUAGUUGGUAAGGUAACGGCUUACCAAGGCAACGAUGCGUAGCCGACCUGAGAGGGUGAUCGGCCACACUGGAACUGAGACACGGUCCAGACUCCUACGGGAGGCAGCAGUAGGGAAUCUUCCGCAAAGGGCGAAAGCCUGACGGAGCAACGCCGCGUGAGUGAUGAAGGUCUUCGGAUCGUAAAACUCUGUUAUUAGGGAAGAACAAAUGUGUAAGUAACUAUGCACGUCUUGACGGUACCUAAUCAGAAAGCAACGGCUAACUACGUG